rnacentral:rRNA from 1 species
GAUGAACGCUAGCUACAGGCUUAACACAUGCAAGUCGAGGGGCAGCAUGGUCUUAGCUUGCUAAAGCCGAUGGCGACCGGCGCACGGGUGAGUAACACGUAUCCAACCUGCCGUCUACUCUUGGACAGCCUUCUGAAAGGAAGAUUAAUACAAGAUGGCAUCAUGAGUUCACAUGUUCACAUGAUUAAAGGUAUUCCGGUAGACGAUGGGGAUGCGUUCCAUUAGAUAGUAGGCGGGGUAACGGCCCACCUAGUCUUCGAUGGAUAGGGGUUCUGAGAGGAAGGUCCCCCACAUGGGAACUGAGACACGGUCCAAACGCCUACGGGAGGCAGCAGUGAGGAAGAAUGAUCAAUGGGCGAGAGCCUGAACCAGCCAAGUAGCGUGAAGGAUGACUGCCCUAUGGGUUGUAAACUUCUUUUAUAAAGGAAUAAAGUCGGGUAUGUAUACCCGUUUGCAUGUACUUUAUGAAUAAGGAUCGGCUAACUCCGUG